rnacentral:rRNA from 1 species
GACGAACGCUGGCGGCGCGCUUAACACAUGCAAGUCGAACGGAAAGGCCCUCUUUUCGUUGUGUGCUCGGGUGGCUAACGUGUGAGAAACGCGUGUGACACCUGCCUGUUCUUCUGGGAUAACGUCAGUAAACUUGGGCUACUACCUGAUAUGAGCGCCAGCUGUGUGGGGGGGGUUGGAAAGUUUCGGAGGUUGGCGUUGUACUCGCGGCUUAUCAGCCUGUCGGUGGGGUUGUGGCUUACGAAGGCUCUGACGGGUAGCGGGCCUGAGAGGGUGACCGGCGACAUUGGGACGGCGAUACGGGCCGGAAGCCUACGGGAGGCAGGAGUGGGGGAUGUUGCACUAUGGGCGGAAGCCUGAGGCAGCAACGCCGCGUGCGGGAUGACGGCCUUCGGGUUGUAGACCGCUUGCGCCUGUGACGAAGCGUGAGUGACGGUAAUGGGUAAAGAAGCACCGGCUAACUACGUG